AGAGUUUGAUCCUGGCUCAGAACGAACGCUGGCGGCGUGUUUAAGACAUGCAAGUCGCACGGGAUUGAUUGAGUAGUAAUACGAGAUCAGUCUAGUGGCGCACGGGUGAGUAACAUGUGAAUUACAUGCCCUUCAGUGGGGAAUAGCCCAGGGAAACUUGGAUUAAUACCCCAUGGUAUCGCAAGAUUAAAGGUGGCCGCAAGGCUGUCGCUGAAGGAUUGGUUCGCACCCUAUCAGCUUGUUGGUGAGGUAAUGGCUCACAAAGGCUACGACGGGUAC
rnacentral:rRNA from 1 species